rnacentral:lncRNA from 1 species
CAAAGUUGAACGAAGGUCUUACGGGUUUGGAAUGACAUGAGGGUGAGUAAUUAAUGACAGCAUGUUUUGGGUGAACGAACCCUUGAAGGAAGUUAACUGCAAAAACACUCCCUGAUUCUCUGUUUUUCUGGUUCCUUGGACCUUCCCAAGUUUAAUACUUUUACGUAAUAUUUACUAUUCAUAAAUACUAGAUAAAUAGCGGGUGAAACCUAGAUCACACCGUCCUUUUUGUUUUUGGGCAUUGGGGUUUCUCACCAGACUCGAUUCAGGUAAGAUUCACUCAUCCUCUGCUGUUCUCCACACAAACUGUGAUCUCAUUUUCUUUUUAAUGGUCCAUUAUAGGUUCAUUUGUCCAGGUUAUCUUUUAUUUUUGUCUGCUGAUUAAGAGAUCUGUGAAAAUGGAACAAUUUGGACAGCGGUUAGUUGUACUGAGCUUGUGCUUGCUGGCUGCUGUGAUCAUCUCUGAACAAAAACUUCAAAACGAUCUUAGUCGUGAUGAUGACAUUUGCUCCAUGUACAUGCAGGGCACAUCCAGACGUCUGAACAUGUCAGAGGCCUUUGACAUGAUCACACUGGAGUAUGGGUGGGAUACCCAGACUGGGAAUAUUGCACAGAUGACUGAAUUGUUUCAGCGCUCAGAUCGGAAUAAAGACGGAUAUUUGAAUCCUCGUGAGUGCAUCCUAUUCAUCGGACGUGUCUUCAGAAUCAUUUGA